UACGUAGGGUGCGAGCGUUGUCCGGAAUCACUGGGCGUAAAGCGCCCGUAGGCGGACUCUUAAGUCGGUGGUGAAAUCCUGGAGCUCAACUCCAGAACUGCCUUCGAUACUGGGAGUCUCGAGUUCGGGAGAGGUGAGUGGAACUGCGAGUGUAGAGGUGAAAUUCGUAGAUAUUCGCAAGAACACCAGUGGCGAAGGCGGCUCACUGGCCCGAUACUGACGCUGAGGUGCGAAAGCGUGGGGAGCAAACAGG
rnacentral:rRNA from 1 species